CUUAAGUGUAUGUGUCUGGGAUUAAACCUCUUCACUGGCAAUUCAUUUUUUCAUUCAUUCAUUCAUUCCUUCAGUCUCUGGUUUAUGGUGUAUAUUAGCCAGGCAGACAAUAACAGGCACACUCUACUAAGCUGAGUUUAAGUGACUUAUAAAAAUACUUUAAAUGUAGUUGUAAAUGUCAAUAUGUUCUCUCUGGUAGUGAAUGGACGAGAAGAAAAAAUAUCAGCAGCAAAGAAGGAACCUUUACAGAUCAUGCAAGAAGUUAUACACAUUGCAGCUGCAACACCUAGCUCAGAACCUGAAAAUUCUCUAAAAGAUGGUGACACAUUAAAUGAAGACCAAAAGCACACAAGCACCAUUCUGUAAUGUGUAAUUCAUGUCAUG